rnacentral:lncRNA from 1 species
UUUAUGUCUACACGCCUCCCUCGCGCCAUCAGAGAUGUGUAUAAGAGACAGAAAUUACAGAUGUCGUCUCAGAAGGUGCAGAGACAGCAACAGCAACAAGGUGAGACAGCUCCUCAGAGCCAAGCGCAGCCCCAGACCUCAGCCAACAACUCCAGCACACGCUACCAGACCAGACAGUCCGUCAAAGGUAGAUACAUGACAGUGCAGAAAUUUGAUUCCCAUAAUUAUUAAAAUUAUAUAUAUAUAUAUAUUUAUAUAUAGGGGUGUAAUGAUACACGUAUUCGUAUUGAACUGUUCAGUACGAGGGUUUUGGUUCUGUACGCAUUACAAAUCAAACGAUUCGUUGUAAUAAUCCUAUUACAAUUGGAAAAUAAAAAGCUUAAAGUGUGAAAUACAGUGUUCUCAGUGCUACUUUGCUCAACAAGGCAGCCCAAAUGACAUAACAGUCUGAGUCUCCAAAAAAACAUUUCCCCUUCUAUGUCUCUCCGCUAGGCUGACCGAGGCACUUAAACUGUCAGAGAUGGAAUUGAAAGCUCUAGCAAGACGCCAGUUGUGCCUAGAGGAGGAGAUCCAGGUCAAGACCAACUCCCUGUACAUAGACGAGUUAGAGAUGCUACAAACAUUGCUGUUCAUCUUGACUGCCGUUCAAAUGACAGACUGUUUUGACCCUGAUGAUCCGACUGAUAUCUAUUCCAUCAGAGUGAAAGAAAACGUCACUGGAGAGGCCGGUUUGUGCAUCAGUGUUCUGUUUUCACUGUCCCUCAAAGUAUCUCAGAUCCCAUUAGGAGAACUUGCUUGGAAAGAGUGCAACUUUCUGCUAAAGAAACUUGGAAGGAAACGUGUAUAUCUUUCCUCAGACAGUAAAUAUUACUGUAAAAGGCUGGCUGUGUGUUUGUAUACAGUCAGUGUAUACCUUUUUAUAGAAAUCACACAAAUUUAUACCAUGGGGUGUUUAAAUACUCCAUUCUGAUCAAAUUUAUAAAAUCAUACUGCGCUACUUUAUUUUACUUCCAAAUUUUAGAUCUAUUCACCUGUAGAUAAAAUAACUAAUAGAAAUGAACUAUUAGGUUUGUUAAGUCAAAUUUUGUGCUGUAAACAUCAACAGCAGCUUUAUCUUAUCCAUGUGACCACUGUAUAAGCAAGAUAAUAGGUGUGCAUAAAACCAUUUAAAAGGGUCAUGAUGUUGCUAAAAAGAACAUUGUUUUGUGUAUUUGGUGUAAUGCAAUGUGUUUAUGCAGUUUAAGGUUAAAAAAAGCACAUUAUUUUCCACAUAAUGUACAUUAUUGUUUCUCCUCUAUGCUCCGCCUUUCUGAAAUGUGACGUUUUUUACAAAGCUCAUCGUUCUGUAAAGUGAGGUGUGCUCUAAUUGGCCAGGUGUGUUGUGAUUGGCCGAAUGCCUUAAGCUUGUGACGGAAAUGUUACGCCCCUUACCAUACUGUGAUACGUGACCCAAUCAGAACAGAGGAGUGACAAGAUGAAAAUAAUAAAACCCAUUACAAACGAGGCAUUUGCUGCAUCCAGUGGAGACAUAAUUACAGAUUAUAAUGACUUAUACUGUGUUCUUACGUGUUUUGCGUUGCAUCGUGCUGCGUACAAAUAAAACUAUGUCUGCAUUUGUGUUUGGAGAAACGACAAACAACAAGCGCUACUCUACACUGCUCAAAACUUGCUUUUGAAUCAUCAGUGGCAAAUCCUUUACAUAUGUAAACGUACCAAAGACCAUAGAACACCGAAGACAUGUCACUCAUAUAGUUUUGAAAGGGGAAAAAUGCAACGCUCGAUAUGGCCACUCAAUCGCAGGAAGCCCCGCCUUCUGAAUGAAAGAGCCAAUUGCUAAUCGGUAAAGUCAGUGCAUCACUGCAGCUGCCAUUAGAAGUCCCGGUUGCUAUCCACCUUUUUGCUCAACACGGAAGUAAGCCUAUGGGUGAGACUUCCGUUUCAUUAGCCGCCAUAGGUAAAUAACGAGGAGAAUAACAACGUGCAGUAAACGGUAAAACCGUUUGCAGUACAAACCAGUGUGUUCUUAAUUAAGAUAACAUUAAAAUAAUAUAAUAGGACACAUCAAUUGUCAAUAUCAAGCAGCAAAACUAACUGUUUUGUACAGCUAAAAACAGCUGGACGCAAAUGAGACCGGAAGCCUUACCCAUAUAAUUUACAAAUGGUGGCGCCCAUUUUUAGGAAAAAGGUGGAUAGAAACAGUCAGCAUUCUGAGACGUCCGCUUAGGACUGUGCAUGUGCACUGGUUGAUCUAGCCUGAAAAAAAUAAGCUUUUUAUAAUGCUAUUUGGGCAAAAGUAAUAACAUUUAUGACACAGUUGUUGUUAGAUUUCUUUGGUGAUUCCAAAUAUGAAAUUUAAUCGUAAGCUUAGUGAACAGUUUUGGCGAAUUUGAUGUUUCCCCAUUCAAAGAGAUAGAAGUUGCACUUGCAUGCUCGAGAGGCGUUUCAGAGAUGGCCGCCUAGUGACAUGACUUGUCUUAAAAGGACUUUGAACAUACUUACAGACUGUGAGUCAGAACAGCCGGCAUUGUAGUCUUCUCUCCCAAAAACAGUCCUCCAUAAAAUGUGCUGCACACAUCUGUAUAUUUGGGUUGAACUGUUCUGGAACAGUGUUGUAAAUACAAUUUAACCACUGAUUUCUAGUUGUGUCCUCUUUUGGAAGAUCAAAGAAAGUAUUUUCGCUUUCACAAUGAAACAGCAUCUCCACGACAUGGUGCCGGCGGCAACAGUGAGAAUCAAAGGUUAAGCCUUCCCUCUUAGCGUGAACAUUUGGGCGGUGUUAUGCAAAUCUUCCCACGUCAUGACGUAGACGUGGGGGCGUGUUUAAACAAGGCGUUUUAGGAGGGCGUGAACGAGUCUUAACUUUUAUAAAGAAUAUCUCUUUGGAUUUAAGACUUUAGUCUUUGCAAUUUUACAGAUCUUCUUUAUGCACCAAGAGCUUGAAACACUCCAAAGAGAAAGGAAAAAUUUAAAUUGCAUCACAUGACCACUUUAAAAUGAUAGAAUAUUUGAAUGUUUAAUUCUAGAAAUUCUAAUAUUAAUAAAUCAUUGGGUUUUAAGAAGUCACCUGGGAAGCAACAAU